rnacentral:sRNA from 1 species
GAGCGAAGCGAGAGAACGUUGCGUCAGCAACGGCCCGCAGGGCGAGCCACGCAGUGGCGAGUCAUCCUCUAUCACCGGCAG